CAGAUCCAAGUUUUAUGUUUGUCUACACACUCCCAUCUUCUUCCCAUAUCAGCAGGAAAAUUCACUCCAAUCAUCUCGCCAUUCUACACUUGGGAAAUCAGGUUUGCUUCAAUCUACCAUCCUUGAAUAUAUGCCCCACAUCUUGUUUCUGCGUCCUAAUCUUAUUAAGCUUGUAAUUAGUAGUUAGUGCAAGAUCAAAAAGGAGCUAUGGGCAAAACACCAUCCGCACCUGCUGAUUUAAUCACCAUAGGACAAGCGGCGCCUAAUCAUGAAAUAGCAGGAGAUUCAAGUGACAGUGAGAGAACAAUCAGUGAGGGUUAUGUGGGGAUCAUGUAUGGUGGUAGCCAAACCCACGAUAGCAACCUGGAAGGAGAAUCUGACAUGGUAUUGCUAGCAACAGAUUCAAGUGACAGCGAGAGAACAAUCAGUGAGGGUUAUGUCGGGAUCCUGUAUGGUGGUAGCCAAAUCCAGGAUGGAGACCUGGAGGGAGAAUCGGCUAUGGUAUUGCCUGCUGUAGGAGAGAAUACCACGGCGAGAUCUAACAGUCAUGGUCAUACGCGUAGCUUGGAAAUUGAUUCUACCUCUUGUACUGGGAGGCAUGCUGCCAGGUCAGAUUUUGUUCUAGUGGCACAACGCCGAGACUGCAUACAAAUUUACCCUGAGUGGCUGGAGAAAAUUGAUUCAGGCAAAAAGAUGUGGAUAGCUCUCAAAAAAUUUCGAGCAAAUGGGAAGCAUGAAGAGGUUAGUAUAUACACAUGUUCUGGUGUGCUCUCUCAUCAAAUAAUUUUCAUUGUGGGUUAAUCAUCUCAUAACAUAAGGAGUGUUUGCUUGAUGGGCAUUCAGACCAAAUGAUGAACGAAUUAGAUCCUAGGUUCUCCAAAAGAUGACAUUGUGUUUUGCUUCCGUUACCUCAUAGAUUUUCAGCCUUUGCGUCAAAAUGAUUUUAUGCAUUUGUUUUCGCACUAACUUGUAUUUUUUUAAGCACAACCAUCCAUAUAUGUAAAAAAAACUCAUGGCCACUUGUGCGAUUGAUAGAAAUCAGUUAACAUCUCAAUUUCCUCAUGUGCUAUUGUAUGACUAUGGAGGUUUUUCUAACAUGAUCCUUCUUACCUCCCCUUUUCACAUGAGACGUAAGAGUAUAAAGUAAAUCUGAGUCAUUGACUGCAUUAAGUAGUGGGCUUGACUAAAUCUUACCUUCUUAACUCCCAUGUGAAAAGAUGGGGUAAGAGGAAGCAUGUUAAAAUGGCUCAUGAACGGUGCUGCCGCCAGUGGCAGAGCUUGAGCAUAAUCCAAGAGGGCCAUUACUUGAAGGGGGGGAAAUUAGAAGGGAAGGAGGGGAAAAUAUCUAGUUUAAACACUAGUUAGGCUUAAAAUAUAGUAUAUUCAUUGAUGGGUGCAAAAAUUAAGGGGGGCCAUGGCCCCUGUUGGUCUACAUGAAGCUCCGCCACUUGCUGCCGCACAUUCUACAGUAUUGUUAUAGACACUGACUGACUCUUAUUUUUGCACUAUAUCCAAAUGUACUAGCAGUCAUAAGACACCAAUCUGUCAGGAUCUCGGCUUUUGGCCUUCUGCUAGGAUGCACUAAAGAUAUUGAUAAGUCUCGCCAUUCCUGGAUGUUGUGAAGGUUACCUGACUGGAACAGAUUGUUCUGGAGAAGGAUAUGGAGGCGCGGCAAACCUAAAGCAACGAUGAUGCAACAAAUGGAAUGUGAUCGAGAAUGGUAUUAUCUACAUGUGCACACCAGAGAGCAUACAAAUUAGGGUCUGCAUGGACGACCAAAACACAUGGCAUUUUUUAUCAACUAGACCAUCCUUUUUUCUUUGAUCUACUAACAUUGGUUGCCAUUUCGGGCUUUUGGGCCGACCUUCGGGCGAGAAAUUGAAGCCCAAGCCUACCCCAGAUGUCGGGCUUUGGGCUCAGGCCUCUGGGCCGGGUAGUCCAUGAACAGGUUUAGUUUGAUCUAUUCACUCACAUUUUGAUCCUCAUUCAUUAUAGCAUUUAACCAUAAUUCAUAUGAACAUGCACCACGAGAAUAUAAUAAAGGAAAUGCAUGGGCUAAUUUGUAGUACACAACGCCUUAUUGUGCGGUAUCACAAGAACAUUUUUCUCCUUGAUUACAAUAGUAACUACUAUGCAAUCUUAUAUAUCAAAUCAUAUAUUAUAUGACAAAUUAAGUAUAUUGUUUUGCUUAUUUCAGUAUUACCUUCAUAAGGAAUAUAGUCACAAGUUUUGCUCCAAACGCAACGUUAUUGAGUUCAUACGAAAUGGAACUGUGAAAGGGAAGUCGGUUCAGAAGGUGCCUAAAUACUUGACUUUCAAACAUAUAGUAAUUAUGCGAAGAUGUAUAUGUUUUUUGUAUUAACUUUAAAGUAUUAAUUUGACACGGUAUCCUAUUUUUGCACAGAGAUCAUCUGAUACUUCUAUGAACAAUCUUCAGGGUAUGUCCAGUUGGCCCCAUGCAUUUGGAUAUUAUUUUGUAUACUAUUAUUACUAUACAGAGAUAUCUAACUGAAACUGAAAUAUAAUAAAUAUUCAUGGAGAGAAAAAUAGACAUUAAUGUCCACAUACACAACAAAAUUAACCAGUACUGUCCUAGUUUACAUGAAUUAAUAUUUUCAAUGACAAUUAGGUUACUCAUGACAUGAUAAAGAAAAAAAAUGUGAGGUAAGAUAAGGUUUUCUAUAAUUUUUCAUGGGGACCUCCUCAUGGUUGCAGAUACAUAGUUUUACAGUGCUUCAUGAAAUAGUUGCAUAUCAUCAUGUCUAAAAGAAUCAUGACGGACACAACUUCAAGAAAUUCUUCUUGUAAAAUAACAUGAUUUGUAUAUACCUCAUAAAGGAUGUAACUUGUUGGUAGCAUUUAAUAUUGUGACACACUCGCCAUCUUUUGUGCCAGCAUUAUUUGGGUGAUGAUUUAAUAUCCAAAAGCAUACAUCAAGGUAGUUAUGUGCAAUGAUAUUCUUGUGAAAAUAACUUCCAUAGUGUAUACUUGCAUAUAUGUAUUGCUCUAUUGUAUUCUCACAGUUAAUCCUUUUUCUUAAUUUUUUGUUUGUUUAUUUAUGUUUAGAGCAAGAUUAUAAAUUAAGCUGAGCAUAAUUUCUGCAGAUUAUAGAUGGCCCACUGAAAGACAAAGGGCGAAGGCGCAAACUUCAAAUAAUUCUUCUUGCCACAUAGGUUUUUCUAAUUGUGCGAGCAUACCACUUGUAACUGCCUUCAGUCAUCUAUGUCAGUAGUAUUUUGAGAAGAAUUUCAUUACAAAAUGCAAUGACUCAAACAAUCAGAUUGUUCAUGAUGAUUCCUAAUUGUAUAACCAAUAAGCUUAACGCACCUUCCUAUUUUAGAGUUGUUAUGUUAAUAAGUAUAUACUAUCUGUUAUUAAUGUUGUUAAUGGGUGAAGAACAUUUGUUGCUCAUGGUUAGAAUGUAGAAUUUUCUUAAUACAACAACCUAGAGCGAAUGUGGAGGCCAAUAUAGAUUGAAACCAUUAAUUCAUAUUAAAAUGGUCAUGACUUCUUAUUUUUAUUUGACAUAAAUGUUUGUGACUUGUUUGAAUUAAUGUGUUCUGCAAUUAUAUGAUACUUGCGUAUUCAUACUAUUUUUAUGAAUUGUGCAGCUAGUUUGUCGACAGGAGCACGAACAACCACAACUUCUACAAAGCUUCCACAUGGUUUCAUCUAGUAUCAUGCAAAAGACAUUGAGACAAUCAAGAUUACUUGAGCAACCUGAAUUAUGUUAGUUGUUACCUGCUUUCAAACGAAUGUGUCCUCUCAUAGUAUGCAUGUACUUCUGUUGUUGAGGAAUUUAUAUCAUUAGACAGUUCUGUUUUUCAUAAUUAUUGAUUAAUGGGUACAUACCUUCAAUCCUGGAAGAUUAUCAGAUAGCCAGUCAAGGAAGCAAUUUAUUUAUUGAAUUGUGCAUAAUAGGAACAUUUUUACAUUCAAAGGAACAUCAUAGGAAUAAUUUGGUAUUUCGAGAAGAUUUUCCAGUCCCCUGCCCCAACCUACUGGAGACAGUAUGAGUGGUGACAGACACAUUUGUAACAUACGAGCAAGCUAGUGCAGCAGCUUCAGUCACAUGCUCUGGAAGCCCAUUUUGGGUCUUCCUUCAGAAGGCUCAACAAGGCCAUCAUCACACCAUUCUAGUUAGUUACUUCUGCAACGAUAUAUGUCCUUAAGAAAAUAAGAAGCUAGGGUUCUAGUAGACUUAUAAUGCUCUAGCAGCACCACGUUGGAUAUGCUCGCACAAAUAAAAUAACAUGAAUCGAGUCUAUAUGUAAGCACAUAUCUUGUCACCAGUCAACUACUAGUACAGUAAGAGCAUCAAAGAGGAAUUCAUUUCAUAUAGAAUAGUCGCAAUCAUAUACUUCUGUUCUGCACAUACUGCUCAUUAUCAUGGACAAUGAUGUAGCUAGAUAAAAGGGAGCAUGUGGCAAUAAUGUAAGCAGGGAGGCUCCAGGGAAGAGCUCAACAGACAGAACUAACCUGCUCUUGCAAGGAACCAGUAAGCCUUGCUACAUUGUCACCUUCAUGCUGCAUGGCAUCGUGUCCACCAGCUAUUGUGGUAUGUCGCAAAUCUUUCCUCUCAUCUUUUCACCGAAAGCGAUCGUUGGCGAAUUCUAAUCUUUCUGGAACAACAUUCCUAAUUCCCUGCACUAGAAGGUCAUCAUGAUGCAUCGGUACAUCGGAAUUCCGGCCACAUUAACAAAAUCUUUGCCCAAACCAAAUUAAGGUAGAAAUGAGAAAUGAAGGAGAGCACCAAAUAGUAAGUUAGGUUACACACAUAUAUAUAGAAAUGCCGUUCAUAGUAAAAACAACAGGAAGUGUAUCCAUGUUGUUUGCUUAGGUGGCUGAAACCAAGGUCCUAUUCACUGGGAUGAUAAACCUACUAAAUAAAAGGGUUCUCAAAGUCCCCUCAGAACUAGAGUCGAGUAACACAGUCAUGAUCCCAUGGGGUUUCAGGAUAACGACAUGCAAAUGUGGUUAACACAAUCAGCUCUCUCAUUAAGAUUUGUCUUAUUUUUUAUCACUACAGGAAAAUUCAUGUUUGCCGAGUGUCAGUGUCUUUGCUGAGUGCAUUUUGUUGGGCACUCAGCAAACAUAUCUUUGCCGAGUGUAAUCCUGAAACACGGUAAACAGGUGCUUUGCCGACUGUCGUGGAAAAAACACUGGCAAAAAAGUUAUAGUUGCUAAAAUGUGCUUUGUUGAGUGUCUUGGAAAUAACUCUCAGCAAAAUAGUGGAACUCAGGCAAAGAUGUGCUUUCUCGAGUGCUACACUCGGCAAAAGGGGGUAUGCACUGCGCUCACUGUUUUGGCCGUCGAGAUUGCAUACAACCUCGGAUGAAGAUGAUCCAAAAAUCAAAGUUUUACAUUUCGACGUGAUGAAUAAUUUUCAUGUUGAGGACCUUUUCCUUUUAGACCAUAUUAUUUACACUUAUUGCCAUGCCAAAGUAUGGUCUCAAAUGAAUAAGGCGGUGGUCAUAUUUAUUGCAAUUUACGACUAUGGGCCUAACCUUGGCAUUUAUGUGCAUCUGGCCAUUACAAACAAUGUUGCCAAAUAGAGUUUCCAACAUUUCGUACAAAGAUAAUUUUUCUAUUUUUGAAGUGUAAAAAAUUGAUACUUUUGUGAAGCUGGUACAAAAAUCGAGUGCAAAAUGGCAUCACUCCAAUUUUCACAAAAAUAGACCAUAUUUUUUGGAAAAUUCCCAUUUUUUGUGGAUUUUCUAGAUUUCUAGCUACUUUCACACAUUUAAAUGACUUUAUUAUGAUUCCGCAAAAUUAAUUCAAUUUGAACUGUAAUUGUGUGAUAGCUCUAUCCUACAAAUUUGCAAAAAUAUACUUUUAGGUACACAAGUAGUCAUUACAUGGAAACCCCACUUAGAGUUUGAGAGAUUCAACCCCUUGACAUGAAUAGACAUGCCGGCCACUUUCACCCCGUUUUGGAAAAAAUGAAACAAGAAGGAUACAAGUUCAAAAAAUGCAAUCCUUUCAUAUGGACUCCUUUUAUGUGUACUAGUGUAGAUGAAAAUACCAAACUUUCAAUAUGACAGUUUUGAAAGAAAAAUAUCCUGCACAAAUGGGCUAUCCUCUAUGAACAUUCAUGGCUUUCAAGUCAAAUGACCAAGGUGAUGACCAUAUUCAUUGCAUAGUUUAUUAUAAUGUGCCCAAAUUAGACAUAUAGGUGAACCUUGCCAUUACAAAUAAUGUUGCAAAAUAGGGUUGAAGGAAAUAUGCCCUAGAGGCAAUAAUAAAGUUAUUAUUUAUUUCCUUAUUUCAUGAUAAAUGUUUAUUAUUCAUGCUAGAAUUGUAUUAACCGGCAACAUAAUACAUGUGUGAAUACAUAGACAAACAUAGUGUCACUAGUAUGCCUCUACUUGACUAGCUCGUGAAUCAAAUAUGGUUAAGUUUCCUAGCCAUGGACAAAAGAGUUGUCAUUUGAUUAACGGGAUCACAUCAUUAGGAGAAUGAUGUGAUUGACUUGACCCAUUCCGUUAGCUUAGCACUUGAUCGUUUAGUAUGUUGCUAUUGCUUUCUUCAUGACUUAUACAAAGUUCCUACAACUAUGAGAUUGUGCAACUCCCGCUUACCGGAGGAACACUUUGUGUGCUACCAAACGUCACAACGUAACUGGGUGAUUAUAAAGGUGCUCUACAGGUGUCUCCAAAGGUACAUGUUGAGUUGGCAUAAUUCGAGAUUAGGUUUUGUCACUCCGAUUGUCGGAGAGGUAUCUCUGGGCCCUCUCGGUAAUACACAUUACUUAAGCCUUGCAAGCAUUGCAACUAAUGAGUUAGUUGUGGGAUGAUGUAUUACGGAACGAGUAAAGAGACUUGCCGGCAACGAGAUUGAACUAGGUAAUCGAUACCGACGAUCGAAUCUCGGGCAAGUAACAUACCGAUGACAAAGGGAACAACGUAUGUUGUUAUGCGGUUUGACCGAUAAAGAUCUUCGUAGAAUAUGUAGGAACCAAUAUGAACAUCCAGGUUCCGCUAUUGGUUAUUGACCGAGAAUAGUUCUAUGUCAUGUCUACAUAGUUCUCGAACCCGUAGGGUCCGCACGCUUAACGUUACAAUGACAGUUUUAUUAUGAGUUUAUAAGUUUUGAUGUACCGAAGGUUGUUCGGAGUACCAGAGGAGUCUCGAAAUGGUCGAGACACAAAGAUUGAUAUAUUGUACGGAUAUAUUUGGACACCGGAAAGGUUCCGGAUGAGAUUGGGACUAUACCGGAGUUUCGGGAGGUUACCGGAACCCCCCGGUAAGUAUAUGGGCCUUAUUGGGCCUUAGUGGAAGGGAGGGAGAAGGAUCAAAGGAGGGGGUGCCCCCCCCCAAGCCCAAUCCGAAUUGGGAGGGGGGCCGGCCCCCCCUUUCCUUCUUCCCUCCCCUCUCUUCCUUCCCUCUCCUACUCCUAAUAGGAAAGGGGGGCCAAACCUACUUGGAGUAGGUUUGCCCCCCUAGGGCGCGCCUCCCCUCUUGGUCGGCCCCCUCCUCCUCUCCCCCUUUAUAUACGGAGGAGGGGGCACCCCAUAGACACACAAGUUGAUCUACGGAUCAUUCCUUAGCCGUGUGCGGUGCCCCCCUCCACCAUAUUCCACCUCAGUCAUAUCGUCGCAGAGUUUAGGCGAAGCCCUGCGCCGGUAGAACAUCAUCAUCGUCACUACACCGUCGUGCUGACGGAACUCAUCCCCGACGCUUUGCUGGAUUGGAGCCGGGGAACAUCAUCGAGCUGAACGUGUGCUGAACACGGAGGUACCGUACGUUCGGUGCUUGAAUCGGUCGAGUCGUGAAGACGUACGACUACAUCAACCGCGUUCUGAUAACGCUUCUGCUUACGGUCUACGAGGGUACGUGGACAAUACUCUCCUCUCUCGUUGCUAUGCCAUCACCAUGAUCUUGCAUGUGCGUAGGACAUUUUUUGAAAUUACUACGUUACUCAACAGUGGCAUCCGAGCCUAGGUUUUAUGCGUUAAUGUUAUAUGCACGAUUAGAACACAAGUGAGUUGUGGGCGAUACAAGUCAUACUGCUUACCAGCAUGUCAUACUUUGGUUCGGCGGUAUUGUUGGAUGAAGCGGCCCAGACCGACAUUACGCGUACACUUACGCGAGACUGGUUUUACCGCCGUGCUUUGCACACAGGUGACUAGCGGGUGUCAGUUUCUCCAACUUUAGUUGAACCGAGUGUGGCUGCGCCCGGUCCUUGUGAAGGUUAAAACAGCACCAACUUGACAAACUAUCGUUGUGGUUUUGAUGCGUAGGUAAGAACGAUUCUUGCUCAGCCCGUAGCAGCCACGUAAAACUUGCAACAACAAAGUAGAGGACGUCUAACUUGUUUUUGCAGGGCAUGUUGUGAUGUGAUAUGGCCAAGACGUGAUGCUAUAUUUUAUUGUAUGAAGUGAUCAUGUUUUGUAACCGAAGUUAUCGGCAACUGGCAGGAGCCAUAUGGUUGUCGCUUUAUUGUAUGAAAUGCAAACGCCCUGUAAUUGCUUUACUUUAUCACUAAGUGGUAGCGAUAGUCGUAGAAGCAAUAGAUGGCGUAAACGACAAUGAUGCUACGAUGGAGAUCAAGGUGUCGCGCCGGUGACGAUGGUGAUCACGAUGGUGCUUCGGAGAUGGAGAUCACAAGCACAAGAUAAUGAUGGCCAUAUCAUAUCACUUAUAUUGAUUGCAUGUGAUGUUUAUCCUUUAUGCAUCUUAUCUUGCUUUGAUUGACGGUAGCAUUUUAAGAUGAUCACUCACUAAAAAUUAUCAAGAAGUGUUCUCCCUGAGUAUGCACCGUUGCCAAAGUUCGUCGUGCCCAGACACCACGUGAUGAUCGGGUGUGAUAAGCUCUACGUCCAUCUACAAUGGGUGCAAGCCAGUUUUGCACACGCGGAAUACUCAGGUUAAACUUGACGAGCCUAGCAUAUGCAGAUUGGCCUCGGAACACGGAGACCGAAAGGUCGAGCGUGAAUCAUAUAGUAGAUAUGAUCAACAUAAUGAUGUUCACCAUUGAAAGCUACUCCAUUUCACGUGAUAAUCGGUUAUGGUUUAGUUGAUUUGGAUCACGUGAUCACUUAGAGGAUUAGAGGGAUGUCUUUCUAAGUGGGAGUUCUUAAGUAAUAUGAUUAAUUGAACUUAAAUUUAUCAUGAACUUAGUCCUGGUAGUAUUUUGCAAAUUAUGUUGUAGAUCAAUAGCUUGCGUUGUUGCUUUCAUAUGUUUAUUUUGAUAUGUUCCUAGAGAAAAUUGUAUUGAAAGAUGUUAGUAGCAAUGAUGCGGAUUGGAUCCGUUAUCUGAGGUUUAUCCUCAUUGCUGCACAGAAGAAUUAUGUCCUUAAUGCACUGCUAGGUGACAGACCUAUUGCAGGAGCAGAUGCAGACGUUAUGAACGUUUGGCUAGCUCAAUAUGAUGACUACUUGAUAGUUUAGUGCACCAUGCUUAACGGCUUAGAAUCGGGACUUCAAAGACAUUUUGAAUGUCAUGGACCAUAUGAGAUGUUCCAGGAGUUGAAGUUAAUAUUUCAAGCAAAUACCCGAGUUGAGAGAUAUGAAGUCUCCAACAAGUUCUAUAGCUAAAAGAUGGAGGAGAAUCGCUCAACUAGUGAGCAUGUGCUCAGAUUGUCUGGGUACUAGAAUCGCUUGAAUCAAGUGGGAGUUAAUCUUCCAGAUAAGAUAGUGAUUGACAGAAUACUCUAGUCACCAUCACCAAAUUAGUAGAACUUCGUGAUGAACUAUAGUAUGCAAGGGAUGACGAAAACGAUUCCCAAGCUCUUCGUGAUGCUGAAAUCGAUGAAGAUAAAAAUCAAGAAAAGCAUCAAGUGUUGAUGGUUGACAAGACCACUAGUUUCAAGAAAAGGGCAAAGGGAAGAAGUGGAACUUCAAGAAGAACGGCAAGCAAGUUUCUGCUCAAGUGAAGAAGCCCAAGUCUGGUCCUAAGCCUAAGACUAAGUGCUUCUACUGCAAAGGGACUAGUCACUGGAAGUGGAACUGCCCCAAGUAUUUGGCGGAUAAGAAGGAUGGCAAAAGUGAACAAAGGUAUAUUGGAUAUACAUGUUAUUGAUGUGUACUUUACUAGUGUUUAUAGCAACCCCUCGGCAUUUUGAUAUUGGUUCAGUUGCUAAGAGUAGUAACUCGAAACAGGAGUUGCAGAAUAAACAGUAAAUAGUAAAAAGGCGAGGUGACGAUGUGUGUUGGAAGUAGUUCCAAGAUUGAUAUGAUCAUCAUCGCACACUCCCUAUACUUUCGGGAUUAGUGUUGAAACUAAAUAAGUGUUAUUUGGUGUUUGCGUUGAGCAUGAAUAUGAUUUGAUCAUGUUUAUUGCAAUACGGUUAUUCAUUUAAGUAAGAGAAUAAAUUGUUGUUCUGUUUACAUGAAUAAAACCUUAUAUGGUUACCCACCCAAUGAAAAUGGUUCGUUGGAUCUCGAUCAUAGUGACACACAUAUUCAUAAUAUUGAAACCAAAAGAUGCAAAGUUAAUAAUGAUAGUGCAACUUAUUUGUGGCACUGCAGUUUAGGUCAUAUUGGUGUAAAGCGCAUGAAGAAACUCCAUGCUGAUGGGAUUUUGGAAUCACUUGAUUAUGAAUCACUUGAUGCUUGCGAACCAUGCCUUAUGGGCAAGAUGACUAAAGACUCCGUUCUCCGGAACAAUAGAGCGAGCAACUGACUUAUUGGAAAUAAUACAUACGGAUGUAUGCAAUCCGAUGAGUGUUGAGGCUCGCGGCAAGUAUCAUUAUUUUCUGACCUUCACAGAUGAUUUGAGCAGAUAUGGGUAUAUCUACUUAAUGAAACAUAAGUCUGAAACGUUUGAAAAGUUCAAAGAAUUUCAGAGUGAAGUUGAAAAUUAUCGUAACAAGAAAAUAAAAUUUCUACGAUCUGAUAGUGGAGGAGAAUGUUUGAGUUACGAGUUUGGUCUACAUUUGAAACAAUGCGGAAUAGUUUCGCAACUCACGCCACCCGGAACACCACAGCGUAAUGGUGUGUUCGAACGUCAUAACCGUACUUUAUUGGAUAUUGUACAAUCUAUGAUGUUUCUUACCGAUUUACCACUAUCCUUUUUGGGGUCAUGCAUUAAAGAUAGCUGGAUUCACGUUAAAAAAGGGGCACCACCUAAGUCCAUUGAGACGACACAAUAUGAACUGUGGUUUGGCAAGAAACCAAAGUUGUCGUUUCUUAAAGUUUGGGAUUGCGAUGCUUAUGUGAAAAAGUUUCAUCCUGAUAAACUCAAACCCAAAUCGGAGAAAUGUGUCUUCAUAGGAUACCCAAAGGAGAAAGUUGGGUACACCUUCUAUCACAAAUCCGAAGGCAAGACAUUCGUUGCUAAGAAUGGAUCCUUUCUAGAGAAAGAGUUUCUCUCCAAAGAAGUGAGUGGGAGGAAAGUAGAACUUGAUAAGGUAAUUGUACCUUCUCCCUUAUUGGAAAGUAGUUCAUCACAGAGAUCUGUUCCUGUGACUACUACACCAAUUAGUGAGGAAGCUAAUGAUGAUGUUCAUGUAACUUCAGAUCAAGUUACUACCGAAUCUCGUAGGUAAACCAGAGUAAGAUCCGCACCAGAGUGGUACGGCAAUCCUGUUCUGGAAGUCAUGCUACUAGAUCAUGAUGAACCUACAAACUAUGAAGAAGCGAUGGUGAGCCCAGAUUCCGCAAAAUGGCUUGAGGCCAUGAGAUCUGAGAUAAGAUCCAUGUAUGAAAACAAAGUAUGGACUUUGAUUGACUUGCCCAAUGAUCGGCGAGACAUUGAGAUUAAAUGGAUCUUCAAGAGGAAGACGGACGCUGAUAGUGUUACUAUCUACAAAGCUAGAAUUGUCGCAAAAGGUUUUCGACAAGUUCAAGGUGUUGACUACGAUGCGAGUUUUUCACUCGUAUCUAUGCUUAAGUCUGUCUGAGUCAUGUUAGCAAUUGCCAAAUUUUACGAAAUCUGGCAAAUGGAUGUCAAAACUGCAUUCCUUAAUGGAUUUUUUAAAGAAGAGUUGUAUAUGAUGCAACCAGAAGGUUUUGUCGAUCCGAAAGGUGCUAACAAAAUGUGCAAGCUCCAGCGAUCCAUCAAUGGACUGGUGCAAGCAUCUCGGAGUUGGAAUAUACGCUUUGAUAAGUUGAUCAAAGCAUAUAGUUUUAAUACAGACUUGCGGUGAAGCCUGUAUUUACAAGAAAGUGAGUGGGAGCACUACAGCAUUUCUGAUAAGUAUAUGUGAAUGACAUAUUGUUGAUCGGAAAUAAUGUAGAAUUUUUCUGGAAAGCAUAAAGGAGUAUUUGAAAGGAGUUUUUCAAAGAAAGACCUUGGUGAAGCUGCUUACACAUUGAGCAUCAAGAUCUAUAGAGAUAGAUCAAGACGCUUGAUAAGAUUUUUCAAUGAGUACAUACCUUGACAAGAUUUUGAAGUAAUUCAAAAUGGAACAGUCAAAGAAAGAGUUCUUGCCUAUGUUGCAAGGUGUGAAGUUGAGUAAGACUCAAAACCCGACCAUGGCAGAAAAUAGAAAAGAAUGAACAGUCAUUCCCUAUGCCUCAGUCAUAGGUUCUAUAAAGUAUGCUAUGCUGUGUACUAGACCUAUUGUAUACCUUCCUCUGAGUUUGCCAAAGGAAUACAAUUUUGAUCUAAAAGUAGAUCACUAGAACAGCGGUCAAGAAUAUCCUUAGUGAGGACUAAGGAAAUGUUUCUCGAUUAUGGAGGUGAUAAAAGAGCCAGUCAUAAAAAGUUACAACGAUGCAAGCUUUUACACCAAUCCAGAUGACUCUAAGUCUCAAUCUGGAUACAUAUUGAAAGUGGGAGCAAUUAGCUAGAGUAGCUCUGUGCAGAGCAUUGUGGACAUAGAAUAUUUGCAAAAUACAUACGGCUCUGAAUGUGACAGACCCGUUGACUAAACUUCUCUCAUGAACAAAACAUGAUCAUACCUUAGUACUCUUUGGGUCUUAAUCACAUAGCCAUGUGAACUAGAUUAUUGACUCUAGUAAACCCUUUGGGCGUUGGUCACAUGACGAUGUGAACUAUGGGUAUUAAUCACAUACAUAUGUGAAUAUUGGUGUCAAAUCACAUGGUGAUGUGAACUAGAUUAUUGACUCUAGUGCAAGUGGGAGACUGAAGGAAAUAUGCCCUAGAGGCAAUAAUAAAGUUAUUAUUUAUUUCCUUAUUUCAUGAUAAAUGUUUAUUAUUCAUGCUAGAAUUGUAUUAACCGGAAACAUAAUACAUGUGUGAAUACAUAGACAAACAUAGUGUCACUAGUAUGCCUCUACUUGACUAGCUCGUGAAUCAAAGAUGGUUAAGUUUCCUAGCCAUGGACAAAAGAGUUGUCAUUUUAUUAACGGGAUCACAUCAUUAGGAGAAUGAUGUGAUUGACUUGACCCAUUCCGUUAGCUUAGCACUUGAUCGUUUAGUAUGUUGCUAUUGCUUUCUUCAUGACUUAUACAAAGUUCCUACAACUAUGAGAUUGUGCAACUUCCGUUUACCGAGGAACACUUUGUGUGCUACCAAACGUCACAACGUAACUGGGUGAUUAUAAAGGUGCUCUACAGGUGUCUCCAAAGGUACAUGUUGAGUUGGCAUAAUUCGAGAUUAGGUUUUGUCACUCCGAUUGUCGGAGAGGUAUCUCUGGGCCCUCUCGGUAAUACACAUCACUUAAGCCUUGCAAGCAUUGCAACUAAAGAGUUAGUUGUGGGAUGAUGUAUUACGGAACGAGUAAAGAGACUUGCCGGCAACGAGAUUGAACUAGGUAUUGGAUACCGACGAUCGAAUCUCGGGCAAGUAACAUACCGAUGACAAAGGGAACAACGUAUGUUGUUAUGCGGUUUGACCGAUAAAGAUCUUCGUAGAAUAUGUAGGAACCAAUAUGAACAUCCAGGUUCCGCUAUUGGUUAUUGACCGAGAAUAAUUUUAGGUCAUGUCUACAUAGUUCUCGAACCCGUAGGGUCCGCACGCUUAACGUUACGAUGACAGUUUUAUUAUGAGUUUAUAAGUUUUGAUGUACCGAAGGUUGUUCGGAGUACCAGAUGUGAUCACGGACAUGACGAGGAGUCUCGAAAUGGUCGAGACAUAAAGAUUGAUAUAUUGGACAGAUAUAUUUGGACACCGGAAAGGUUCCGGAUGAGAUUGGGACUAUACCGGAGUUCCGGGAGGUUACCGGAACCCCCCGGUAAGUAUAUGGGCCUUAUUGGGCCUUAGUGGAAGGGAGGGAGAAGGAGCAAAGGAGGGGGCGCCCCCCCCCCCCAAGCCCAAUCCGAAUUGGGAGGGGGGCUGGCCCCCCCUUUCCUUCUUCCCUCCCCUCUCUUCCUUCCCUCUCCUACUCCUAAUAGGAAAGGGGGGCCAAACCUACUUGGAGUAGGUUUUCCCCCCUAGGGCGCGCCUCCCCUCUUGGCCGCCCCCCUCCUCCUCUCCCCCUUUAUAUACGGAGGAGGGGGGCACGCCAUAGACACACAAGUUGAUCUACGGAUCGUUCCUUAGCCGUGUGCGGUGCCCCCCUCCACCAUAUUCCACCUCGGUCAUAUCGUCGCAGAGUUUAGGCGAAGCCCUGCGCCGGUAGAACAUCAUCAUCGUCACCACGCCGUCGUGCUGACGGAACUCAUCCCCGACGCUUUGCUGGAUUGGAGCCUGGGGAACGUCAUUGAGCUGAACGUGUGCUGAACACGGAGGUGCCGUACGUUCGGUGCUUGGAUCGGUCGAGUCGUGAAGACGUACGACUACAUCAACCGCGUUGUGAUAACGCUUCCGCUUACGGUCUACGAGGGUACGUGGACAAUACUCUCCUCUCUCGUUGCUAUGCCAUCACCAUGAUCUUGCAUGUGCGUAGGAAAUUUUUUGAAAUUACUACGUUACCCAACAAGGGUUUCCAACUUUUUUUGUAAAAAAACCAUUUUCUAUUUUCUAAAUGUAAAAAAGGGUGCUUUGUGUGAAGCAUGUACCAAAAACAGGGUACAAAAUGGCACCACUCCAAUUUUCACAAAAAUUAGACCGUAUUUUAUGGACAAUUCCCAAAAUCUGUAGAUUUAUCUCUAAAAAAUUAACAAUUGGUGUAUUUUUUUAAUAUUUAAUAAAAAUAAUAUAUAUUUUUAAUGGGAAAGGCAGAUAUUAAAAGGAUACCAUGGACAUCUGAGGGUGUACGUUGAAGCGUUGGAGGUGCCUUUACGUGCCAGUUUACGACGUGCUCAACCGGGAAUGUGGUAGUAUUAAUCAGUAUAUACUUUUAAAAAUCAAUAUAUAAUUUGUUUGGAUUAUUUUAGUUUGCAGGGCAAACUUAAAAUGGAUUUAUUUAGCCUAUUUUUGUGAAAUCACUAAUUAGGAGGUACCUUUUGCAAAGGUCACACCCCACUUUCAUUAGUGCUGACAGGUGGCACAUGGCAUGUGUGUCCCUUGUCGCAACAUGGGAGUUUGCCCUUUUUGUAGAUUCAUUUUUUUUAAUCUUUUAUCUCUUGAACCGCGCAUUCAAAUCACGACCCAUUUUUAUCGUUGGAUUUCUCACGCCGAGAUCUUUGAAACUAGUCACAUGUUAAUAAGUUCCGAUGAACUUUUUCUUCACGAAAAUCAAACAAAAAAAUAUGAAAACAAAAAAUACAGAAAGCAAAAAAAGAAAAAAAAAACUAAAAUCACGGUUGUGCUUUUUUACAUUUUUGGGAAGAAAAAUUGUGCUUUCCCCUUUUUGGGAAACACGGUUUUGCUUCUUGUGAAAGCAUAGGUUGUGCUUUUCCCUUUUCAAGAAGCAUAGGCCAUGCUUCUCUUGUUCUCCGGGAAGCACAUAUGUGCCUUUCCUUUCGGGGAGCACAGUUUUCUCUUUCGGAAAAGCAUAGAUGUGUUUUUCCCUUUUCAGAGAAGCACUACCUAUGCAUCUCACCGAAGAACAUGCUGUGCUUUUCCUUUUUUGAGGAAGUAUAGUUGUGCUUUCCCUUUUUUACAGGGUAGCAAAAAUUGUGCUUUCUUCCUUCUCGGGAAGCUAUGCUUCCCGCGGAAAAGCACCGCCUCAUGAAAAAACAUAAAAAUGAUUUUUUUUUCAUCAAAACCUAGGGAAAACCAAGAAAAAAAGAAAACAUGUGUAAAAAAAUCUAAGGGUGAACCCAGUGCACGACACGUGGCGGCAAUUGGACGCAUCACUUGAUGCGCUCUCAGGUCCUAAAAGUAGCCUAUGUGGAAUCCCCCGAUGAGAUACCCGUUAGAUAGUUGGAGACCUCCUUGCAUCAAAUAGGAGGGUGGCCACAAAGGGGGCGCAUCCUGGUGGGCCGGCCCAGCAGCGUGCUACACUCUAGCGCAAAUUGGUCAAAAUCUAAAAAGUGAUGUGUGAUCAAAGCGCGCAUGGCUAGCCACUCAAGCUAAUGAAACUCUGCUAACUACUAGGCCGUGUUGAACUUUAAAAAGUACUAUAUGAUACCCCGCGCGUUGUUGCGGGAACUCUUAGUACUUUACAUGAAGAAGCUUGUGGAGUGAAAAUAAUUAAAUGAUGAAAAUAUACACUUUUUAAAACCUUUGGUGGUACUUGUAGGAACAUUAUGGAGUGAAAAUAAGUUAACAAUUAAUAUAUUUUUGAACGUUUGAUGGUAUUUUGAGAAUCAUGAGAGAAAUGGUAUAUUAGGGUAUCUCUGUAUUUAUGUAGUUAGAACGCGCCACCCUUUAGCGGGGAAUUAAAUGCAUCGCUAACAUUAAAAAAUAGAGCAUAUAGUUUGAUGGGAAUUUCACUGAAAACAUGGCCAGCCAAGUCUAAAGCUGAAUAUUACACUGAACAGAGAGCCCAAUCAUUGCCUAACACAAAAGCACUAAUGCUUGUUGAGUUAUUUGUAAUAUAGGAGCAGAAUCCCUUCGAAAGAGAAAUUCCAAAAUAUUAAAAAGAUCCAACAGUAAGACAUCCAUACACCUUACAGUUUAUACAUGGAGACAAGCUACAUACCAAUCGCUAAAAAAGGUGAAUAUAGAGUCAUGCACAUCAGGCCCUCAUGGCAUAGAUGCAUUUCUUCCACUAAAAGGACAUGCCUUAAGGGGAUUAGUGUAGGUGUGAAGAUCUGGACAUAUAAAUGGCAGGAAUGACUUCAUCUUCCUGCCCCUUCUGUGGAAACAAAAGCCCGACUUCAAUUGGGAUCCGUUUGACAUGUUGCUCCCUCUUCAUAAAAUGGAGCUGAUCGUUAUCUAAAAGCAAGCUAGGUAGAUUUGGCAUGGCCAGCAGUAGUACUUGCUACUUUGCCAGUUGUGAUGCAUCAUAUGAGAAGGCAAGGAAGGUUGCGUGCUGCCAUGGCCGGACCCUUUGGGGUGCCAAAUGGUGUUCAAAUUUAUAGUAGGUUCCAUUUUUGGUGGGAAUCCAAGAAAAAGAAGGCAAUGGAGUAAGAUGACAACCCAUUCCCAGACUGCCACUCAAAAUCAAAAUGAAGAGGGUAAAUAAAUGUACUUACUAAGAACACACGGAUAACAUACAGCUGGCUACAGAAACAGCCAAACUUUGUAAGUCCAUGGAAAUUGAGGAAAUUGUGAAAACUAUUUCUGUGAGUAGAAGGAAACGUAGUCCAGUUACCUUUCAUGGUAAUGCUUCUCUUGAGACGAUUCUUAGGAUCCCUGAAGAAUGUCUUCUGUUUUCCUGAAGCGGGAUUCCUUGCUAGAGCAGUACCUUUUGUUCUCUUGAGUUAAGGCAGAGUGGGAAAUACAUCACUAUCAGCUCUAGUUCAAUUGCUUGUAUUUUACAAAAACAUACAAUUGAAACAAUUAUCAGGAAAAGUUAUUACCUUAAUCGCAGCAACUCUUUGAGCAUGCAAUUUGGCGUCUUGGUGUAUAAUCUUCAUGUGUAAACAAUUUGUUUUAGCAUCUAGACUCUAUAAUUAAAAUUAAUAAGUUCUUUAAAACCCAAAGGCAACUAUAUAGACCAAUACAAUUAAACAAAGCCAGCGGGUAGGUUUCAAAUAUUAAGUAGCAGGGCUCCAUAGUUAACUCUCCAUCAUGCAGGCAUUUAGUGUAGUAGAUACAAGACAUACGUGUGACAGAUUGCAUAUGAACAACAUUUAUUAGUAGGAAAAUUGUACUACCGUAUAUUGCACUAACACUAACUAUAUGAAGAAGCCAAUAGCAUGUAAUUUCAGCUUGCAAGAAAGCGCCACUUACUCUUAUAGAUCGGCUAAUCUACAUGGCAACUUCUGGGGAUGGUGAUGGAUAAGUACAGUUGGAUCGUUUUUAGAUGUUAAUCUAUUAUUAUAAAAAUCAUCUUCCUUUACUUUCAAGGGAGAACUGUAGAGGGGAAAGAACAACAUUUUUUAAUCUAAUGAUCCAUCACUUAUUCACAACUAUUGCAAUAACCAAGUAUGUUGGAUGCAAGGACGAGGUGAGAGUGCAGGCAACAUGUAUGUCACAUCAUGCGAACAGGUGGGGAUCAUGUUAAGUCAAUGCAGAAGGAUGCGUUGUGUGUCCGCGCACCGUCAACACCGCCGAGUAAACAGUAAACUAAACCUGGGGACCAGUGCUCUUGACCUUCCCAGCUACUUCUGGCAUAGGGGGAAUAUUUGAGGAUUUAUAGUGCUGAGAUUAGGGUUAGGAGNNNNNNNNNNNNNNNNNNNNNNNNNNNNNNNNNNNNNNNNNNNNNNNNNNNNNNNNNNNNNNNNNNNNNNNNNNNNNNNNNNNNNNNNNNNNNNNNNNNNNNNNNNNNNNNNNNNNNNNNNNNNNNNNNNNNNNNNNNNNNNNNNNNNNNNNNNNNNNNNNNNNNNNNNNNNNNNNNNNNNNNNNNNNNNNNNNNNNNNNNNNNNNNNNNNNNNNNNNNNNNNNNNNNNNNCUCCUCCCGAAGCUUCCUAGGUUUCUUCUGGUCCAAGAAAAAUCAUCGUAAAGUUUUAUUCGUUUGGACUCCGUUUGAUAUUCCUUUUCUGUAAAACUCAAAAACAAGAGAAAAAAACAGAAACUGACACUGGGCUCUGGGUUAAUAAGUUGGUCCCAAAAAUAAAUAAAAUAACAUAUUAAUGCAUAUAAAUCAUCCAAAAUAGAUAAUAUAAUAGCAUUGAACAACCAAAAAUUAUAGAUACGUUGGAGACGUAUCAGGAUCAUGUUAAGUCGAUGCGAAAGGAUGCAUUGUGUGUUCGCACACUGGAUGCUUGCAUUUAUAUGGCUCUAUCAGCAUCGCCGAAUAAACUAAAUCUGGGGACCGGUGCUCUUGACCUUCCCAACUACUUCGACUGGAAAUCAGAUCCUCCAUGCCAAAUAAGAAAGACCGUUCAGGUCGUGCUGAUAGAGAGGAAAGAGACCACUCACCUCCGACAAUGGCACGUGUGGCUCGCCUGAAGGUCCUUGGGUUGAAUCCACGGUGUUGGGCUAGCGUAGCACCCAUUGGCGGCAAUCAUGGGGCUCCAAGAUGGCGUCACCGUGUAGAUGUCUGGUGUUGUUGGCCAUAGACGGUUUUGUCAAAGGCGACGCAUUAUGGAAAGAUGGAGAGAUAAAAGAGGGGAGGAGAAGAACCUGGAAGACAAUAGAUAUUUAUUGGUGAAGGGGAGAUGAACGGAAUCAUCGGGCGAAGAGGUGAUGGCUCGUGUCCGCAUUAGUAUUUUCCCCGAAGAGGAAGGGAUGAUGCAACACAGCUACGGUAGGUAUUUCCCUCAGUGAUGAGACCAAGGUUAUCGAACCAGUAGGAGAACCACGCAACACUAUGUAAAUGGUACCUGCACACAAAGAACAAAUACUUGCAACCCGACGCGUAAGAGGGUUGUCAAUCCCUCCCGGGUAAAAGAUAGAUUGGUUUCUAGUAGAUUGGAUAAAUAGAUCUCGCGGAAACGCAAAAUAAAAUAAAUAACAAAAAAUUGCAUCAAGGUAUUUUUGGGUUUUUAGAAUAAUAGAUAUCUAUACCUAUUAAUAAAAGAAAUAGGUAUUCUUCGUCCGUCAUGCUAUUUUGUAGAAAACCCCCUGAUGUUUCUGACAUUAAACCAGCAGUACAUAUCAAGUGCUUUUUAAAAUACUCAUAAUUUUAAACCAUAACUCCAAAUUUAACAUAUUAUAUAUGGAAUUUAAUUAGAAAAUUAUUUAGAAUCUAAAUAUGAUGUUAUUUUACCUGUUAACAAUUUUUAAAAUAAACUAUCUAGGCUGCAAUGUUAAUCAACAAUGCAUUAUCCGUCUUUUUUUCAUACCGGUAUUGAUUUAGAUUGGGGAUGAAAACCUCAGCAAAAUCAGGAUUGGACAUCAGAUUGAAGAUAAAUUUGUUAGAGACACCGAAUAAAUAAGGACAUGCAUGACAAGAAAUAAAAAGAUCCAAUAAAGAUGGGAUGUCCGCUAUAAAAAUAAAUAAAAGAGAAAAUGCAGAGGAGAUCCGAUAAAGAUGAGAUGUUGCGCUAUUCUCCUAUAUAUAAGAAGAGUAAAAGGAGGACAUGCAUGAAAAAAGGUAAAAAGGAGGCAUGCAUGAAAAAAAUACAAGUUUUAUAAGAAAUAAAUAGUGAUGAAACAGGGACCAAUACCUAUGACAUGUAUGGCAAGAAAUAGUGAUGAAAUAGGGGCACAAGUACCUGAGUCAACAGGAGACCAUAAAAAAUGUUGUUUUCCAGACCAAAAAAAACCUAUUUUAUGAUUAAAAAAUCUUGUACCUUUUUAACAACCUUUUUAACUCUUCAUGUAUUUAAGAAAUAGCUACAAAUUCUCGGAUUAUAAAACAUUUUUUGUAAAUUAAGAGUGUGUGGUACUUUUUUCCCGUUGCAACGCACGGGCCUUUUUGCUAGUGAAAAUAAAAGAGGCAAAUAAUAGAUCGGAAAGCAAAUAUGAUAAAGAAUAGACCCAGUGGCCGUAGAUUUCACUAGUGGCUUCUCUCCAGAAAAAUUGCAUACAGUGGGUAAACAAAUUACUGUUGGGUAAUUGAUAGAACUUCAAAUAAUUAUGACGAUAUCCGGGCAAUGAUCAUUAUAUAGGCAUCAUGUCCUAGAUUAGUAGACCUACUCCUUCCUGCAUCUACUACUAUUACUCCACACAUCGACUGCUAUCCAGCAUGCAUCUAGUGUAUUAAGUUCAUGGAAAAAUGGAGUAAUGCAAUAAGAAUGAUGACAUGAUGUAAACAAGAUCUAUUCAUGUAGGAAUAGACCCCAUCUUGUUAUCCUUAAUGCAACGAUCAAUAUGUGUCUUGCUGCCCCUUCUGUCACUGGGAAAGAACACCGCACGACCGAUCCCAUCACAAAGCACCUCUUCCCAUGGCAAGAAAAAUCGAUCUAGUCAACCUAACUAAACAAAAGAUUCGAAGAAGAAUACGAGGCUAUAAGUAAUCAUGUGUCUAAGAGAUCAAAACUCAAAUAACUUUCAUGUAUAAAAUAGAUCUGAUCAUAAACUCAAAGUUCAUCGGAUCCCAACAAACACACCGCAAAAAGUGUUACAUCAAAUAGAUCUCCAAGAGACCAUUGUAUUGAGAAUCAAAAGAGAGAGAGGAAGCCAUCUAGCUACUGCCUACGGACCCAUAGUUCUACAAUGAACUACUCACGCAUCAUCGGAGAGGCACCAAUGAGGAUGAUGAACCCCUCUGUGAUGGUGUCUAGAUUGGAUCUCAUGGUUCCGGAACUUGCGGCAGCUCGAAUUGUGUUUCGUCGACUCCCCUAGGGUUUUUGGAUUUUCGGGGUAUUUAUAGAGCAAAAAGGUUGUGCGGGAGGGCACCGAGGUGGGCACAACCCACCAGGGCACGCCUGGGCCCCCAGGCGUGCCCAGGUGGGUUGUGUCCCCUGGGGACACCCAUCUGGUACUUCUUUGGCCCAAGUUGUUCCUUCUGGUCUAGAAAAAUUCUCCAAAAAGUUUCGUUGCGUUUGGACUCCGUUUGGUAUUGAUUUUCUGCGAAGUAAAUAACAAGCAAAAAAUAACAACUGGCACUGGGCAAAUAGGUUAAUAAAAUGAUAUAAAGUUGCUAUAAAAUGAUUGUAAAAUAUCCAAGAAUGAUAAUAUAACAGCAUGGAACAAGCAAAAAUUAUAGAUAUGUUGGAGACGUAUCAAGAGGCAAUAAGAGGAAGGCGCAGCAAUCAGUUCGACGGUAGUAAAAAAUUACACGAUUCCUUUCGUUGAAAAGGGAAAAAGGAAGCAUUGGUGAUGUGGCAGAUUUUCUAACCUGGAUGGCAGCAUGUUGAUUGCUGAUGUGGAUAGGCUACAUGUCAAGAGAAAUACGGUACUGGGGAUGAACUAUUUAGGUAUUAUAUAUGCGCAACAUCACAUCUAAACUCUUUAUGAAAUUACAAAACACGAUGGUUUUUAAAAUGGAUAUAUUUUGGAACCCAAUUUUUUAAAAUUUAUGAAUAAAUUUUUGAAAACUUGAACAAUUUCUUGAGUCUAUGAACAAUUUUUUGAACACGAACUUUUUUUCAAAAUUUCAAAACGCAAUUAUUUUUUUAAUGUAACCUUUUUCAAAAUUCAAAAACAUGAUUGUUUGUAAAGUGAAUAUGUUUUUAAAAUUCUAGACUAAAUUUGCAAGUUGAAUAUGUUUUGAGAAACACUCGAAAUUGUGGACGUUUUCUAAAACGUCAAAGAACUUUGAAAAACAUCAAACAUUUUUCAAAGCACGGAUUCUGGGAAAAAAACAAAUUCCGAACAUCUUUUAGAAAUUUUGAAUUUAUGAAAAAAGAAAAAGAAGCAGAAAAUGAAAAAAGAAAGAAAGCAAGGAAAAGCAGUGAAGAAAUAAAACAGAAAAAGGGAAAAAACCUGAAAAUAGUGGUAAAGACUGAUCCUAGCUACUUGGGCUGGUCCAUCUAUGGUUUACUCGCUGCUCAUUUCGGAGAUUUCUUUUAGGGGUAAAACCAAGUUUUAUACAUCAAACACCAUAGAGUGUGGGAUAGAGUUUGGGUCAUGGCAUUUUCCAAAGCAAACAUUGCGUCCCAGACCUAACGAAAGAGAAAACCUGCCUAGAUUAUGUGCUUCGACAUUUACAGGAUGAUCUUUAGAUAAAAAAAUACAAUGAAAUAAAUACGGUUGCAACUUGAUCUCGUUGAUAAUGGCUCGUUUCCACAUAGUUUGCUCACAUUUUUGAGAGAAAAUUUAGCCUUGAUGGGCUGGGAAAUUGGGCCAGCCAUCCUCGAGUGUGACUGGCUUGUCUUUGUCUAGUAUAAAUCCCAUCACGUUGCCCAAGAGCCCACCCUUAUCUAUUUUUCUACAGGACCCAUAUAUGUUUGGUUCCUUCAGCACGAUGGGCCGCCUCCCAGCCUCCCUCGCCCGCUCGACAGCUCCCCCACCAAUAGAGUUAGGCCCUCGACCCUCCCCCACCCCAAGGUUGCGAGCAUGUCCCUUCCCGACAUCUCUUCCACACGGCCUCGUCCCACCCCAUGUUCUCCCCCAAGUGCUUUGUCGAGUGUCAUGGAAAAAUAUUCUUGGCAAGAUAGUGGAACUCACGCAAAAUGUGCUUUAUCGAGUGCUACACUCGGCAAAAGGGGGUAUGCAGGGAAGCAAAAUCAUGCUUUUUUCCUUCUCGGGAAGCUGCGCUUCCCGUGGAAGGCUUCAUCAAAAACCAGAAAAAAAGAUUUUUUUUUUCAUCAAAACCUAGGGAAAAUAAAAGAAAAAAAACACGUGUAAAAAAUAAAAUCUUAAGGGUGUACCUGCACACGACAUGUGGCCGCAGUUGGGCACAUCACUUGAUGCGCUCUCAGGGCCUCAAAGUAACCUCUGCAGGAACCCUCGACAAGAAACCCAUCAGACAGUUGGAGUCUCCCUUGCGUCAAAUAGGAGUGUGGCCACAAGGGGAGCGCGUCCUGGUCGGCCGGCCCAGUAGCCUGUAGCACUCUACCGCAAAUUUGUCAAAAUCUAAAACAUGACGUUUGAGCAAAGCUCGCAUGGCUAGCCAGUCAAGCUGAUGAAACUUUGCCAACUACUAUGUCGCGUUGAUCAGUAAAAAUUAUGUGCAACAUCACAUAUGAAAAAAAAUUGGAAUUUCAAAACACGGUUGUUUUUAAAAUGAACUAGUAAAGUGGCCCGCUCGAUGUGCGGGCUAGAUUUUUAAGUUUUUUUUAAUAAUAUCAUAUUGUUUGAUUUGGCUAAAGAAAAAUUGGAACCCAAUAUGACGACUUUAUUGUGCGGGCUCAAUCUUUGAAUUGUCUAUUAUGUUUUAUGAUUGAAUUUCUUAUCUGUAGUAAGUCAAUACAUAAUUAUGACGACUUUAUUGUGCGGGCUCAAUCAAUAUUAUUAUUUACUGUUAUUCUUCUUAUUUUUAUUGUUAAAAAAACAAUGUUAAAGUCAACCCAUUUGAAAAAAACUAAUUUAAUGUAAGUAUAGUAUCUAAAGUCCUAGUAUAGUAAUUUCAUUUCAAUUUAAUUUUAUUGUAUUCUUCCAUUUUGAAAAUGUAUUUUUAUUAUGAAUCUAGCACUUUAGUUAAAAUACAAAUAAAACUACUACAUUACUGAUCCCAAAAUUAAACAAAAAUGUGUACAUAAACUUGUCUUUAUCAUCGAUGAAUUACAACCAGAUCAUAUGUUUAAAUAAUGGAUAUUUAUAUUAUUAAUCAACCAAGCAUAGUUCUUUUGAUCUCGUAGAUUGUGAUUUUCCAAUAGUGUCUUGUCUUUUUGUUUAUGUGCAAAUAAUAGUUCACCUAUCAUAUUUUACGAGAAUGGGAAACAAAUAUAAGAAAUAGAACUGAAAGAAUUAUAUGGACGUCUAUUCUUGGAAAAUUGUUUAUGGUGUCACCAUCUCGUUCACGUGUGAGUAUGCAAUCUAAUUUCUAACAUGGCAUUCUUUCAUGCGUGAAGAAAUUUCAAGUUAUCACAACGCGACAUGAGUUCGAUAGAAUAUUAACUCAUUCGGAAAAAAAGAUAUGUACAUACAAAACUAAUGAAGUAACUUCAGUAAAAAUUAAUAUGUUACCCAAGAUUUUGAGGGACUGUGAUUUUGAAGGGGUAUUACAUUUUUGUAAUGUUAACUUGACACAUUGGUGAGAAACACAAUUCGAAUAGAAUACACUAAAGCUGAGAAAACAGAACUUUGUUGAACAAUAAUUAACCGGCUAAGAACUUACAAUGUAUCAUGCCUUUGCUGUUAACAACUAUAUGCAGCAGUAUUUUUUUUAUAUUUAUAAUUAUCACUCAAACUAACUUUUUAGAAAGCAUACUAAUUAGUUAGAUAUUCAGGGAUGCAUUGAUAACAGUAAUCGCUAUCGUCUAGCCUUGCCUCCUGUCUGAUGCACUACAAGCAAAGGAUUCAAAACUACGUUUUCCUGUAAUGUAAAACAAUAAUACUUCAUGGAGAUCAUGUUUGCAUGUGCAUAUGGAAUUUAUCAAUAGUAGGUAGAAAAGUCCUAGCUAGCUUAGCUUAGCUUAGGAUAACGCCCUGGCAUCUAAACUGCUUCAUAUAUGCAAUCCAAUUGUAUGGGUCAAAUAUACAAAACCUGAAGCUCAUGGUCUAGAUGUUUCAUUGAUAAUAUCAUUUCCACCAGACUGGCGACCGAUUAUACAGUAGUCUACCUGUAUUGUUUAACACUGAGAUACCGCAUCAGCCAAAUCAUAGCACCUGAGGUGCCUCUUCUAGUGGACGGUGAGAGCAUAUCUGUAAUAAUCAUCCUUUGUAUAACAUUAUUUAUACCUCCAAAUGUUGCACCACACAUGUUCAUCUUUAGAGUCAAGCCCUAUUGCAGCGCAGGUUGUGCUUGGCCAGCACCUUCGUGAUGAACUUGCCAGUGACCACAGUGCAAGCAACUACCAGUACCCAGGAAGCCUCGACGAAGCCAAUGACGUACUGCUCUAUUUCGCGCCGGUCCCAUGUGGCCCACUUGUUUCCCUGAGCAUGUCGGUAUCGACAAAGGAACGAUAGUCGCUAGAUUAAAGGGAAGUGAGAUGGAAAGACACACUCGAGGAGGAAGAUGUUUAGGACUAUGUAUUUGCAUACUCUUUUGGAUCAAGGACGUGGGAUGUAAGUACGGUGUUUGCCUUUUUUUCUUUCUCUUUUUAGCUUUGAAGGGAUGUGUACAUGUUUUUUUUUAUGUCUACAUGCUUGAUUUUUUUUCCUCUGGAGGGAUAUGUACUUGUUUGUAUUUUUAAAAGGUUGGGGGAUCAUUCAUUUUGUACGCACUUGUUUUUUUUUCAAAUGUAUGUACGUGCCUGAUGGAUAUGUGUGGGGACGUUCUUUUUUAUAUAUGUGGGAUAUGUACGUGCNNNNNNNNNNNNNNNNNNNNNNNNNNNNNNNNNNNNNNNNNNNNNNNNNNNNNNNNNNNNNNNNNNNNNNNNNNNNNNNNNNNNNNNNNNNNNNNNNNNNNNNNNNNNNNNNNNNNNNNNNNNNNNNNNNNNNNNNNNNNNNNNNNNNNNNNNNNNNNNNNNNNNNNNNNNNNNNNNNNNNNNNNNNNNNNNNNNNNNNNNNNNNNNNNNNNNNNNNNNNNNNNNNNNNNNNNNNNNNNNNNNNNGUGCCUGAUGGAUAUGUGUGGGGACGUUCUUUUUUUUUUCCAUGAUGGAUGAACGAUGUGGGAUGUGUAUUUUUUUAUAUCUGGGGGGUACACUCUUUUUUAGUGUCCACCGGGUUAUGAAGAUCUAAGGCCUAUGAUUUAUUAGUACAGAGAAGUUCUAUUAAAUCAACCAUCGGAUACUUCUGAUUUUUAUAGAAUUUUUGAUCAUAUUUCUCUUUGUUAGUUAACCUGCUAUUUACUUUUAAUAUAUAGUAGAUACUAUAUAUGCAGUACGUGACCAUGUAUGAGUUUGUGAGGGAUUCUCUAUAUACACAUAUGUGCGUUUGUUUUUUCCUUAUGGAACAGAUGUGCAUGCACGUGCUUUCCAAUUAACAUGGUAGGCUUGCCAAAAAAAAUUAACGUGAUUCCUCACGCAACAUCUUUUUUUAUAGAAGAGCUCUGACAACCGAAUAAUCCAGGCUUUUUUUCUAGAUUGGAAAAUAUCUACGUGGGACAUGUGCCAUGUAAAUCCUUAGAGGCCCAUCAUAUUAUAUAUGUUACGUAAAUUGAACGGUCACGUAAUCUUAAUUUUAAGAGAUUUACCGGAUCGAGGGUUAUUAUUUUCUAAUUAAUGUGGAAUUUUAUAACCUAUUUCUCUCCCUUUUGGUUCACCGUAUAUUACUUUUAGUAUAUAAAAUAGAUGGUUUUUGGAACAUGGACUUUUUCCAAAUUUAUGAAUAAAAUUUGAAAACUAGAGCAAUUUUUGACUAUAUCAAGGUUUUUUUUUAACACAAACUUUUUUUGAAAUUUUAAAACACGAUUAUUAUUUUAAUACAACCUUUCUUAGAUUUCAAAACACGUUUUUAAUGAAUAUUUUCUUAAACCCUACCAAAAGUUGAAAAUUUGAACAUUUUCAAAAACACUCCGAAGUGUGGACAUUUUCUAAAAAACGUGAAAGGAUUUAGGAAAACUUCAAACUUUUUCAAAGCACGAAUAAUUUUUGGGAAAAAUGAAACAAAAUCAAAUUCCGAACAGUUUUUGAACAUUUUUUUAGAAAUGUUGAAUUUAUGAAAAAAAAGGAUAAAUUAUGAAAGAAACGAAAAUUGGUGAAGAAGAAAACAAGAGAAGGAAAAAAACUAAAAAAUAGUGUAAGAAAAAAACACCAAUACUAGCUACUUGGGAUGGUACAUAUGCGGUUUGCUCACUGCACAUUUCCUAAAUUUUUUUAGGGGUAAAAGCAAGUUUUAAUCAUCAAACACCAUAGAGUGUGGGAUAGAGUUGGGGUCGUGGAAUUGGUUAAACCCAACGCGGCGUCCCAGACCUAACGAAAGAGAAAGACUGGCUAGACUAUGUGCUUCGACAUUGAUAGCAUGACCUUUACAAGAAAAAUUACUAUCAAAUAAAGAUGGUUGCAACUUAAUCUCGUUGAUAAUGGCUCGUUUCCCACAUAGUUUGCUCACAGUUUUUGAGAGAAAAUUUAGCCUUGAUGGGCUGGGAAAUCGGGCCAACCAAUCUCAAGUGCGACCGACUCAUCUUUGUCCACUAGAAAGCCUGCCACGUCGCCCAAGAGCCAACCCUUAUCUUUUUUUUACAGGACCCGUAUAUGUUUUAUUCCUCCAGCAAGACCGGUCGCCGCCAAGCCUCUCUCGCCCGCUCGACAGCUCCCCCCGCUGCCGGGGCUAAGCCCUGGAUCCCCCCACCCCCAGGUUGCGAGCUUGUCCCAUCCCUCCCUCUCUUCUGCGUAGCCUCGCCCCACCUCGUCUUCUCCCCCACCGGUGCUUUGCCUAGUUUCUUGGAAAAAAACUCUCGAUAAAAUAUUGGAACUCUGAUAAAAUGUGCUUUCCUGAUUGCUACACUCGGCAAAAGGGGGUAUGCACUGCACUGUUUUGGUUGUCCAUAUUGCAUACGACCUCGGAUGAAGAUGAUCCCAAAAUCAAAGUUUAUCAUUUUGACAAGAUGAUUAAUUUUCAUGUUCAGAACUUUUCCAUUUUAAGCCAUGUUAUUUACACUUUGGGCAAUGCCAAAAUAUGGUCUCAAAUGAAUAUGGCGGUGGUCAUAUUUAUAGCAUAGUUUCUGACAAUGGGCCUAAAGUUGGCAUUUUGUUGCAUCUCGCCAUUACAAACAAUGAUGCCAAAUAGAGUUUCCAACAUUUUGUACAAAAACUAAUUUUCCCAUUUGCUAAGUGUAAAAAAUGGAUAUUUUAUGAAGCGGGUAAAAAAACAUAGUGCAAAAUGGCACCACCCCAAUUUACAUAAAAAGUAGACCACAUGUUUUAGAAAAUUCCCAGGUUUUGUGGAUCUUCUAGAUUUCUAGCUACUUUCCACAGUUAAAUUCAAAUUUGAACUUUAAGUCUGUGAUAGCUUUGUCCUAAAAAUUAGCAAAAAUGUAAUCUAUUUUUUUAGGUAUGCAAGUAGUCAUUUUAUGAAAUCACCACUUAAGUUUGAGAGAUUCAGGCCCUUGCCAUGACUAUCCAUGCCGGGCAUUUUGACCCCGUUUUGGAAAAAUGAAACAAAAAGGAUACAAGUUCAAAAAAAAUGCAAUCCAUUCGUAUGGACUCCUUUUAUGUGUACUAGCUAGGAUGAAAAUACCAAACUUCAAUAUGAAAACUUUGAAAGAAAAAUAUCCAUCACAAAACGGGCUAUCAUGUAUGAACCUUCACGGCUUUAAAGUCAAACGACCAAGGUGACGACAAUAUCCAUUCCAUAGUUUAUUAUAUUAUGCCCAAAUUAGACAUAUAGGUGAAUCAUGCCAUUGCAAAUAAUGUUGUAAAAUAGAGUUUCCAACUUUUUGUACAAAAAAUCAUUUACUAUUUUCUAAGUAUCAAAAAAAUGGGUGUUUCUUGUGAAGUGGGUUCAAAAAAUAGAGUGGAAAAUGGCACCACUCCAAUUUUCACAAAAAGUAGACCAUAUUAGAUGGACAAUUCCCAAGUUUUGUAGAUGUCUAGAUAAAAACUAACAAUUGGUGUAUUUUUUAAUAUUUAAUGAAAAUAAAAAACGGGCGAGAAUAUGACCAGGGGUGUAAACUGUGGAGGGGGCGCCGCACACGGCUAACAAUUGAUGUUGUGUGUUCUAGGCGCCCCCUUCCCCACAUAUAUAUAGGUGGGAGGGGAGGGGAGGCAGCCAGGGGGCACCCCAAGUAGGAUCUGAAUCCUACUUGGGGUUUCCCCAANNNNNNNNNNNNNNNNNNNNNNNNNNNNNNNNNNNNNNNNNNNNNNNNNNNNNNNNNNNNNNNNNNNNNNNNNNNNNNNNNNNNNNNNNNNNNNNNNNNNNNNNNNNNNNNNNNNNNNNNNNNNNNNNNNNNNNNNNNNNNNNNNNNNNNNNNNNNNNNNNNNNNNNNNNNNNNNNNNNNNNNNNNNNNNNNNNNNNNNNNNNNNNNNNNNNNNNNNNNNNNNNNNNNNNNNNNNNNNNNNNNNNNNNNNNNNNNNNNNNNNNNNNNNNNNNNNNNNNNNNNNNNNNNNNNNNNNNNNNNNNNNNNNNNNNNNNNNNNNNNNNNNNNNNNNNNNNNNNNNNNNNNNNNNNNNNNNNNNNNNNNNNNNNNNNNNNNNNNNNNNNNNNNNNNNNNNNNNNNNNNNNNNNNNNNNNNNNNNNNNNNNNNNNNNNNNNNNNNNNNNNNNNNNNNNNNNNNNNNNNNNNNNNNNNNNNNNNNNNNNCCCCCGGUACUCCUAUAAAUACCCGAUACAUUCGGGAACACUUCCGGUGUCCGAAUACUAUCAUCCUAUAUAUCAAUCUUUACCUGUCGACCAUUUCGAGAUUCCUCGGCAUGUCCAUGAUCUUAUUCGGGACUCCGAACAACAUUCGGUCACCAUAUCACAUAACUCAUAUAAUACAAUAUCAUUAUCGAACGUUAAGCAUGCGGACCCUACGGGUUCGAGAACUAUGUAGACAUGAUCGAGACACCUCUCCGGUCAAUAACCAAUAGCGGAACCUGGAUGCUCAUAUUUGAUCCUACAUAUUCUACGAAUAUCUUUAUCGGUCGAACCGUUAUGACAACAUACAUUAUUCCCUUUGUCUAUCGGUAUGUUACUUGCCCGAGAUUCGAUCGUCGGUAUCUGCAUACCUAGUUCAAUAUCAUUACUGGCAAGUCUCUUUACUCGUUUUGUAAUACAUCACCUCACUAACGGAUGGGUCUUGUCCAUCACAUCAUUCUUCUAAUGAUGUGAUCCCGUUAUCAAAUGACACCUCAUGUCCAUGGUUAGGAAACCUUAACUAUCUUUGAUCAACGAGCUAGUCAAGUAGAGGCUCACUAGGGACAUAGUGUUUGUCUAUGUAUUCACACACGUAUUGAGGUUUCCGAUCAAUACAAUUCUAGCAUGGAUAAUAAACAUUUAUCAUGAAUAAGGAAACAUAAAAUAAGAACUUUAUUAUUGCCUCUAGGGCAUAUUUCCUUCAAAUCAGUAUAUGUGUGCAUGCUUGGUUGUUAGUGAAAUGUUUUAUGUAUAUGUGUACAUGCUUGGUUGGGCCAACUUUGUGUAUUACAUUUUGUGAAAUACAAACUUGAUAUAUGCCACAUUUGUGUUAACGACCAAUAAGUAUAUACGUAACUAUAUUUUGCCUUCUUUUUCCUCCUCCACAAGAAAAGGUCCCAUGCUUUUCUCCUCCUCCAAUUGGCGCCGUAGCUAGUCCGCCCCAUCUUUGAUGGCCUUUGGGCCCUUUAGUACUGUACCGAACCAGCAGCCUUCGCGCCAAGCGACGACCGCCCUUGUCCCUUUCCUUUUUCCAUUCAGCCUACUUCUUAGCUUUGUUCUGUCAGUCUAAGGCAAAGCUUAAGUGGUUUGCCUACCUUACCCACUUGAUGAAAGGGAACGGACUUCAUUUCCUUGGCGGCUUUAUGGAUGGAUUCAGUCAGAAAAAACUCCUUCCUUUUGAAAAAAGUGACGCCACGAAGGUGAGUAGGACCUCAGGCCCUCGCUGGCGGGAGGGAACCUGUUCUCAUUCUUUUUUGGUUCAAUGUCUUGCUGGAGCGCUGUGUUGCGGCUAUGAUGUCUCUCAGUAGGAAUAAUGUUUCACAUGUUCUAUCCCUGUCUCGAUGGUGCCUCUAGCAUCAUCAUAGGGCAUGUGGAGGUGUGUCUCUAUCGGAUUUCGCAGGAUUCGGUCGGCAUUAGUCUUCGGUGGAUCUGUUUGGACACGGUCUAUGUUCAUCUUUGUGGUGUUUAUACUAUUGAUCCUUCCGAUCUAUGACUUUCUUCAUCGACGAUGGUUGCUGCUUCGGUGCGCUGGUCCUAUGGGUCCUUAGCACGUCAACUUCCUGACUAUUGACUACAACAAGGUUUGCCCGGCUCCAGCGAUCGGGGGGGGGGGUGAUGGCGAUGCACAGCUUUCUUUAGUGCUUGUAGUCAUCACUAGGUGGUCCAUGGACCUGGUUGUAAUUUUUUGUAUCUCUGGUGUUCUUUGUACUGCCAUGAUUGAAGAUGAAUAGAUUGGAAGUUUCUCACGCAAAAAUAACUAUAUAAAUAACUAUUUUAGCAAAAUUCGCAAAAAAAACUAUUUUAGCAAGUAAUAAAUUUUGACACCAAUUAUAUGGUAGUAAUUAAUAUUUACCCUAAUAAUAUCCGCAUUGGAUUCAGGUUUUAUACUAUGUAUACAAACGAGAGUAUGUUUGGAUAAUUGUGUGAACACAAGGAUAUAUCUUAGCAAAACUAUUUUUAGCAACAAGUAAAUGAAUUAAUAUAUGCUAGCUAUACUCUGCUGGUGAAAACAUGGUGUAUUAGUUGUACAAAGCAUGCAACACGGUUUCACUCCCCUUUAUAUUCCUGGGCGGAACACAAUUUCAGAUCCAAGUUUUAUGUUUGUCUACACAGUCCCAUCUUCUUCCCAUAUCAGCAGGAAAAUUCACUCCAAUCAUCUCGCCAUUCUACACUUGGGUAAUCAGGUUUGCUUCAAUCUACCAUCCUUGAAUAUAUGCCCCACAUCUUGUUUCUGCGUCCUAAUCUUAUUAAGCUUGUAAUUAGUAGUUAGUGCAAGAUCAAAAAGGAGCUAUGGACAAAACACCAUCCGCACCUGCUGAUAAAAUCACCAUAGGACAAGCGGUGCCUAAUCAUGAAAUAGCAGGAGAUUCAAGUGACAGUGAGAGAACAAUCAGUGAGGGUUAUGUGGGGAUCAUGUAUGGUGGUAGCCAAACCCACGAUGGCAACCUAGAAGGAGAAUCUGAUAUGGUAUUGCUAGCAACAGAUUCAAGUGACAGCGAGAGAACAACCAGUGAGGGUUAUGUGGGGAUCCUGUAUGGUGGUAGCCAAAUCCAGGAUGGAGACCUGGAGGGAGAAUCGGCUAUGGUAUUGCCUGCUGUAGGAGAGAAUACCACGGCGAGAUCUAACAGUCAUGGUUAUACGCGUAGCUUGGAAAUUGAUUCUACCUCUCGUAGUGAGAGGCAUGCUGCCAGGUCAGAUUCUGUUCUAGUGGCACAACGCCGAGACUGCAUACAAAUUUACCCUGAGUGGCUGGAGAAAAUUGAUUCAGGCAAAAAGAUGUGGACAGCUCUCAACCAAUUUCGAGCAAAUGGGAAGCACGAAGAGGUUAGUAUAUACACAUGUUCUGGUGUGCUCUCUCAUCAAAUAAUUUUCAUUGUGGGUUAAUCAUCUCAUAACAUAAGGAGUGUUUGCUUGAUGGGCAUUCAGACCAAAUGAUGAACGAAUUAGAUCCUAGGUUCUCCAAAAGAUGACAUUGUGUUUUGCUUCCGUUACCUCAUAGAUUUUCAGCCUUUGCGUCAAAAUGAUUUUAUGCAUUUGUUUUCGCACUAACUUGUAUUUUUUAAGCACAACCAUCCAUAUAUGUAAAAAAACUCAUGGCCACGUGUGAUUGAUAGAAAUCAGUUAACAUCUCAAUUUCCUCAUGUGCUAUUGUAUGACUACGGAGGUUUUUCUAACAUGAUCCUUCUUACCUCCCCUUUUCACAUGAGACGUAAGAGUAUAAAGUAAAUCUGAGCCAUUGACUGCAUUAAGUAGUAAACUUGACUAAAUCUUACCUUCUUAACUCCCAUGUGAAAAGAUGGGGUAAGAGGAAGCAUGUUAAAAUGCCUCAUGAAUGUGGUGCUGCCGCCAGUGGCAGAGCUUGAGCAUAAUCCAAGAGGGCCAUUACUUGAAGGGGGGGAAAUUAGAAGGGAAUGAGGGGAAAAUAUCUAGUUUAAACACUAGUUAGGCUUAAAAUAUAGUAUAUUCAUUGAUGGGUGCAAAAAUUAAGGGGGGCCAUGGCCCCUGUUGGUCUACAUGAAGCUCCGCCACUUGCUGCCGCACAUUCUGUAGUGUUGUUAUAGACACUGACUGACUCUUGUUUUUGCACUAUAUCCAAAUGUACUAGCAGUCAUAAGACACCAAUCUGUCAGGAUCUCGGCUUUUGGCCUUCUGCUAGAAUGCACUAAAGAUAUUGAUAAGUCUCGCCAUUCCUGGAUGUUGCGAAGGUUACCUGACUGGAACAGAUUGUUCUGGAGAAGGAUAUGGAGGCGCGGCAAACCUAAAGCAGCGACGAUGCAACAAAUGGAAUGUGAUCGAGAAUGGUAUUAUCUACAGGAGCACACCAGAGAGCAUACAAAUUAGGGUCUGCAUGGACGACCAAAACAGAUGGCAUUUUUUUAUCAACUAGCCCAUCCUUUUUUCUUUGAUCUACUAACAUUGGUUGCCAUUUCGGGCUUUUGGGCCAACCUUCGGGCGAGAAAUUGAAGCCCAAGCCUACCCCAGAUGUCGGGCUUUGGGUCAGGCCUCUGGGCCGGGUAGUCCAUGAACAGGUUUAGUUUGAUCUAUUCACUCACAUUUUGAUCCUCGUUCAUUAUAGCAUUUAACCAUAAUUCAUAUGAACAUGCACCACGAGAAUAUAAUAAAGGAAAUGCAUGGGUCAAUUUGUAGUACACAACGCCUUAUUGUGCGAUAUCACAAGAACAUUUUUCACCUUGAUUACAGUAGUAACUACUGUGCAAUCUUAUAUAUCAAAUCAUAUAUUAUAUGACAAAUUAAGUAUAUUUUUUUGCUUAUUUCAGUAUUACCUUCAUAAGGAAUAUAGUCACAAAUUUUGCUCCAAACGCAACGUUAUUGAGUUCAUACGAAAUGGAACUGUGAAAGGGAAGUCGGUUCAGAAGGUGCCUAAAUACUUGACUUUCAAACAUAUAGUAAUUAUGCGAAGAUGUAUAUGUUUUUUGUAUUAAAUUUAAAGUAUUAAUUUGACACGGAAUCCUAUUUUUGCACAGAGAUCAUCUGAUACUUCUACGAACAAUCUUCAUGGUAUGUCCAGUUGGCCCCAUGCAUUUGGAUAUUAUUUUGUCUACUAUUAUUACUAUAGAGAGAAAUCUAACUGAAACUGAAAUAUAAUAAAUAUUCAUGGAGAGAAAAAUAGACAUUAAUGUCCACAUACACAACAAAAUUAACCAGUAUUGUCCUAGUUUACAUGAAUUAAUAUUUGCAAUGACAAUUAGGUUACUCAUGACAUGAUAAAGAAAAAGUUUUUUGUGAGGUAAGAUAAGGUUUUAUAUAACUGUUCAUGGGGACCUCCUCAUGGUUGCAGAUACAUAGUAUUAUAGUGCUUCAUGAAAUAGUUGCAUAUCACCAUGUCUAAAAGAAGAAUCAUGACGGACACAACUUCAAGAAAUUCUUCUUGUCAAAUAACAUGAUUUGUAUAUACCUCAUAGAGGAUGUAACUUGUUGGUAGAAUUUAAUAUUGUGACACACUCGCCAUCUUUUGUGCCAGCAUUAUUUGGGUGAUGAUUUAAUAUCCAAAAGCAUACAUCAAGGUAGUUAUGUGCAAUGAUAUUCUUGUGAAAAUAACUUCCAUAGUGUAUACUUGCAUAUAUGUAUUGCUCUAUUGUAUUCUCACACUUAAUCCUUUUUCUUAAUUUUUUGUUUGCUUAUUUAUGUUUAUAGCAAGAUUAUAAAUUAAGCUGAGCAUAAUUUCUGCAGAUUAUAGAUGGCCCACUAAAAGACAAAGGGCGAAGGUGCAAACUUCAAGUAAUUCUUCUUGCCACAUAGGUUUUUCUAAUUGUGCGAGCAUACCACUUGUAACUGCCUUCAGUCAUCUAUGUCAGUAGUAUUUUGAGAAGAAUUUCAUUACAAAAUGCAACGACUCAAACAAUCAGAUUGUUCAUGAUGAUUCCUAAUUGUAUAACCAAUAAGCUUAACACACCUUCCUAUUUUAGAGUUGUUAUCUUAAUAAGUAUAUAUUAUCUGUUAUAAUGUUGUUGUUGGGUGAAGAACAUUUGUUGCUCAUGGUUAGAAUGCAGAAUUUUCUUAACACAACAACCUAGAGCGAAUGUGGAGGCCAAUAUAGAUUGAAACCAUUAAUUCAUAUUAAAAUGGUCAUGACUUCUUAUUUUUAUUUGACAUAAAUGUUUGUGACUUGUUUGAAUUAAUGUGUUCUGCAAUUAUAUGAUACUUCCAUAUUCAUACUAUUUUUAUGAAAUGUGCAGCUAGUUUGUCGACAGGAGCACGAACAACCACAACUUCUACAAAGCUUCCACAUGGUUUCAUUUAGUAUCAUGCAAAAGACAUUGAGACAAUCAAGAUUACUUGAGCAACCUGAAUUAUGUUAGUUGUUACCUGCUUUCAAACGAAUCUGUCCUCUCAUAGUAUGCAUGUACUUCUGUUGUUGAGGAAUUUAUAUCAUUAGACAUUUAUGUUUUUCAUAAUUAUUGAUUAAUGGGUACAUACCUUCAAUCCUAGAAGAUUAUCAGAUAGCCAGUCAAGGAAGCAAUUUGUUUAUUGAAUUGGGCAUAAUAGG
rnacentral:lncRNA from 1 species